AUAAAAGAACACGAAAUAAAAGAACACAAUUUAAAAGAACACAAUUUAAAAGAACACAAUUUAAAAGAACACAAACAAGUACACACCACAUAAACAAAAUAAAUAAAAGCUUAUUAGCUGCCAUCGUAUUAACCCCCAUCGUAUUAACCCCCAUCGUAUUUCAUUUAAUAAUAAAAAUAAGCGUUUUGGUGAUAGUAAAAAAAAAAAAGUGGCGCAUACAUCAACAAAUGCGACAAACAUAAAAAAAAAAAAAAAAAACUUGAAAUAACACAACGUAUCAUGCUCAGACCGAUUUACACUAUCCUCAUAAAUUAUUUUGUUUUAUUAUUUACUAAUAAUUACGUUUUUAAUUUUGAGUAUGUAAAAUGUCAAAACGAAAAUCUUUAUAUUAUUAAAACAGUUCCAGAUAUUAUAAGUAGUAAAAAAAAAAAUUAUUUAAAAAAAAAAAAGAAACAUUUUUUUAUACCAACAAAUAUAAACCCCAAAACAAACGACUUGUAUUUCAAAAAGUAUAUCCAUAUAUUUUCAAAUAAAAUUAAAAAAAAUAAAUUGCCAUAUAAAAAUAAUAACAAAGACAUUUGGUACAAUAAUAAACACGUACAUGUGUUUGUAAAAAAUAUAACAAAACAUAAAAUUUUUAAUAAUAUCACGGAACAACAGUUUAAUCUUUUAAGUAAUAACAAAGAUGACAAAAAUGAUAAAAAUGGCAAAAAUGACAAAAAUGAUAAAAAUGACAAAAAUGAUAAAAAUGACAAAAAUGAUAAAAAUGACAAAAAUGAUGAAAAUGAUAAAAAUGAUAAAAAUGAUAAAAAUGAUAAAAAUGAUAAANNNNNNNNNNAAAAUGAUAAAAAUGAUAAAAAUGAUAAAAAUGAUAAAAAUGAUAAAACAUAUUUAAGUAUUCAUACAUUGGAAGAAGAGAAUAAGACGAGAGAAGUAAAUCAGUCAUAUAGUGAAAAAAAAGCGACCAAUUCCCAACAGCAAAAUGAAAAACCUGAAAGUAAACAAACCCAGGUUGAACAAUUAAUACAAUGGAAAAAACACCAAGAGGAAAAAAGAAAAAAUGAAAUAUUAAAAGAUUUGAAUAUAAAAAAAAGAAUGCAUUUAUUAAGACAAAAAGGAAUUAAACAAGGGUCAAAUUUAUACCCUAAUCAGAAUGUGACAGUAAAAAAUGAAGAAGGAGUAACAGAUAUAUUAGAGUUAAUGGAAGGAACAUAUUAUGAAGAAGAAGCGAAAAUUAAAAACAAAGACGAGUAUAAUAACGGAAGUGAUGAUGAAGACAGUGAAACAUAUUUUGAUGAUUUUAAUUAUGAAUUUAAUGAAAAAGAAAAAAAAAAAAAAAAAACAAUCAACGAAUCAAUUAAUAACACAGACUAUUUUAAUAAUAACACUCAAAAUAAUAAUAAUAAUUAUUUUAAUAAAUAUGGUGAUAUUUAUAAUGAUAAAAAAGAAAGUGAUAUAUCUGAUCCUUUUAAUACACAAAAUAUGAAUGGAAAUAUGAACGAAAAUAUGAAUGGAAAUAUGAACGAAAAUAUGAAUGAAAAUAUAAAUGAAAAUAUGAAUGAAAAUAUUAAUAAUAUAUUUAUUUCAAAAAAAAAUAAAAACUUACCAUUAUUUUUUUCUAUAAGUAAUAAAUUUAUCGAAAAUAGUAAUAAUAAAUAUUUUAAUAAAAUUUGUACUAUACCUCCAAAUGAAUUAAUCAAUAGAUUUUUUGAAAAUAGUCCAGAACGAGUAAAAGAAGCUGUAAAAAAUAUUUUAUUUAAUAUAAUGGGUAAUAUUCAAAAAUAUGCAAUCGAAACAUUUAUACUGAUGAGUUAUGAAAAAUUAUAUAACUUUCUUUUACAAAUUAUUUUAACUGGAUAUAUGUUAAAAAAUGCUGACUAUCGUCUAAGUCUGAACGAAUCACUUUACGAACAAAACAAUUUAACACAAAAUAAAAAAGAAAAAAAUGUUUCGAAAUUAAAAAAAAUAUUUUAUACUUUAUUUAAUGAUAGUAUAAAUUAUAAAAAUAAUAAUAAUAAUAAUAAUAAUAUUAAUAAUAAUAAUAAUAAUAAUAAUAAUAUUAAUAAUAAUAAUAAUAAUAAUAAUAUUAAUAAUAAUAUUAAUAAUAAUAUUAAUAAUAAUAUUAAUAAUAAUAAUAAACAAACUUUUAACGCAGCUGAAUUAUUAGCAAAAUAUCAUGAAAUAUAUGGUAAUAAAAAAGAAAACACAAAUAAAAAAAUUAAUGUUGAAGCACAGGAGGAAGAAAAGAAUCUUACUGUUAUAGAAGACAAUAACGAACAAAAUCAACAAAGGGAUGAAAGUAGUAAAAGUAAUGCAAGAAAUGGUACAACUGUAAAUACUAGUAAAACUUCAAAUGAUAUACAAAACAUAACAGAUGAAUAUCCCAUUAUAAAUUCUAAAAAUUAUAUUUUAUUUUUAAGGAAAAAAAUAAAUUCAUUAGAAGAAGAAUUAAAAAAAACAAAACAAAAUAAAAAAUUUACAGAUGAUGAUAUACUUUCUUAUAUAAAGUCAUUAACUGAUGUACAACUUCGUUCACUAACAGAUAAUGUAGGUUCAUUGGUUUUAGAUGCGACUAAAAAAAUAGUUGAACUCGUAAUACAAGGUAUGACACUAAAUGUUAAUAAAAAAUUAACAAACGAAUUAAUAUAUAUUAAUGGUUCAGCUUUAACAUAUAUUUGUUUUUGGCAGUUAAUUAAUGGCUAUAC
ensembl:lncRNA